rnacentral:rRNA from 1 species
AUUGAACGCUGGCGGCAUGCUUUACACAUGCAAGUCGAACGGUAACAGGCCGCAAGGUGCUGACGAGUGGCGAACGGGUGAGUAAUGCAUCGGAACGUGCCCAGUCGUGGGGGAUAACGCAGCGAAAGCUGCGCUAAUACCGCAUACGAUCUAUGGAUGAAAGCGGGGGACCGUAAGGCCUCGCGCGAUUGGAGCGGCCGAUGUCAGAUUAGGUAGUUGGUGGGGUAAAGGCUCACCAAGCCAACGAUCUGUAGCUGGUCUGAGAGGACGACCAGCCACACUGGGACUGAGACACGGCCCAGACUCCUACGGGAGGCAGCAGUGGGGAAUUUUGGACAAUGGGCGCAAGCCUGAUCCAGCAAUGCCGCGUGCAGGAAGAAGGCCUUCGGGUUGUAAACUGCUUUUGUCCGGAAAGAAAUCCAAUCGAUUAAUACUCGGUUGGGAUGACGGUACCGGAAGAAUAAGCACCGGCUAACUUCGUGCCAGCAGCCGCGGUAACAC